UAAAUAAUGUCGUCUGGCCCAUUUAAAAAAUAAGCCGUCGUCUCUGAUUCUUCCUUUUCCUCUGCGUCGUUUCGGGUCGACUAUCUGCGUUUCACCGUUCUUUCAUUCCUGUUCUUUAGUUUUCUCUUAAUGAGCUAUUCUUUCCUUCCAACUCCCUCUCUUUCUACUCCUAUAUAAACCACUUCGUCAAAGACUCUCUAUAACAUCCAUUCAAUGAUAACAAUCGAUGGCUAUGAAAUUGAUUCAAACCUCCGACAAGUCUCGUGCUGCACUAUAUUUCGUCGACAUAUCACCAAGGCUAUCAGAGUGGGGAUUACGCUUUAGUUUGAUCUAUUUCUGGGAGGCCAGAAACACUGCCAAUGGUGGGAGCUGCUCAUCCUCGACGAACCAGGGGCACUGUGAUCUACCAGCCUCAACUCAAACCAGGAUCCACUUACAGCCUCAAGAAUUUAUUCGCUACGAAGCCGAAAGAGAUCUAUCGAGUUGCUGAUCUGCGUGUAACCAUUUGUUUCUCGCACAGCUCUGUCCUCUUCCAUCUUGAAUACCUAUCAACGCCGACCGGUUCAGAUUCUACUUACAUGAAGGUUUUGAGUCCAACUGUGGACUCUGAAACAGUCUUCAGCUUAUCUGCCAUGUAUUUGAUGCAUAUUAUUGAGCUUCUUUUCUAAUUUCACUUUAUUAAUUUUCAAAACCACUAUCGUUGUUUACAAUUUGGUUUAAGAAACAUUGGUGCAAAUUAGCAUAUCGUAUAAACACCAAGACAACAUAGAACUAGAACUAAACUUUUUGUUUAGUUUACGUUGUAAGUUCUAUAUUUUGCCUACUGCUUUGUUACUUUUAUAGGUGAUCUCCAUUGAAAAGGGCUUAUGUUUACAUGAACAAGAUGAAUCAGGCAAAGGACUGUUUUCCAUGUCUCUAAAACGCUACGAGAGGCACUCAUACGCCGAGAAACAGGUCAAUGGAACAUAGCAGGCUUAAGGCUAGGGGUGAUCUUUUGGAUAUCAAAGGCAUUAUGUGGGAAAGUAUUUAGAAUCAAUUGCAUAAGUGAACUCCAGACUCUCGAGUAACAGCUGGACACUUCUCUUAAACAUCUUUGCUCCAGAAAAGUAUGUCAUGCAUGGUUUAGUGUUUGUCUCAUAUGAAUGAAUACAAUUUUGACUCAUUGGUGCAUAAUCAAUGUACGAGUCCCUCAACCACCUUCAAAGAAAGGUGUCCAACCGAGUUCAAGGAGCUUGCGGUGCAUUACUUGCGUGGAGGCGCACAAUGGUGGGUCAGUGUGGUUCGGAGCAUGCCUGUUGGAUAUGGAUCCCUUGGGAGACCUUUGGAGAAGAAUUGAAUAGGAAGUAUUUUCUGCAAGAGAGCUGGGGGGAUUGAGAGCUGAUAUACGCAAGCGAUGUGCAAUACAUGCAUAUGGUAUCUUGAUUGAGUUGGUUGAGAAAUCAGUCUUGAUGGAGGCUGUGCUUUUGGAGGAAGCAAAGUUCCUGAAAGUACUUAAUCCAAGACGACCAGGCGAGCAGAGUUGUCCUGGUGGGGUCAACAACUGUAGAAGGUGUGGUCAGCGAGGCCAUUAUGCAUGGGACUGCACAGCUCAUAUGGUUGGAGGACAACAAGGUAAUCAAAACCAAGGAAAUUUUCCACCACCUCUUAAGAGACGAGCCGUGGGACAUCGGAUGUGUGUCACAGCAGGUCAGGAUGACACAGAACCAAUAGAAUACCAAGAGUGCUCGGAGAUAUCCCUAAGAAUGGUUAUUUUUUCGUGGAAUUUCGUGGAAAUGGCAGGAGAGGGCAAUCAGGAGGAAAACACAUGCUUUGUAAAUAGUUGAUCAUUGCUUUUUUCUUCUUUUUUGCGUUUCUUAAUGUUUGAUAACUAUUAUACUCUUUCAAGUUCCAGUGUUUUACUCCACUUCAGUCUCGAACUUGAGCUACCAUCGCUCCACUUUGGGCACCAAAUGUUUCUUAAAAUGAAGAAUUAGUUGUUUCUUUUCA